rnacentral:lncRNA from 1 species
UGCACUAGGGCGACUCGGCGAGUCUACACGUGUCCACAGACUCACUCUUAGACCCUCUAUUGGCACGUCGAGUACUCCCCUGACUCGACGAGUUCCACCGGGCAAGAAUCACGGGGCCACCCCGACUCAACUCGCCGAGUCCCAAGAACAACUCGGCGAGUUCCAACUCAAACUCAGACCCCUGACUCUCCCUGACUCACCGAGUCAUUCCCCUAACUCAACAAGUCCAUUCACUGAGUGAUUUACGGGAAACCUUCAAACUACUCGCCGCGUCUGUUCUUCGGACUCGGCGAGUUCAUGCCAUGCACAAACUCAAAACGAAUUCUGAGGUUAGAUCUGUUCCAUACAAUCAUAGAUCUAGCCUCCCCAUGAUAAACCCGUAAAGUUCGAACCUUGACACACAUAUAACAUAGAAAUGGUCCAAAAUGGUGAUUUAGCCCCAAAAAUGACAUUCUAAGCUCAUGACUUCCAAAAUGGCUCAUAAAGCUCCAAGGGUUAAGGUCUAUGGACCUCUUUGAGUCCAGAUCCAAAGCACAAACUCGAAAGGGGACUAAAUACUUUACAUACUCUUCUUCUAAAGGGUCUAAAAACCCUAACUCUAAGAAUCAACACCCAAAACUGGAGAAGGUCCGAAGGAGUACCUUUAUAUGAAGCCCUUGAUCUCUGAAGACACUAGAUUUGCACUUCCUUCAGCCUUCUUUGCCAUGGUCACCUUCUCCUUCAAAUUUCACCAACAAAAGAUCAAGAAUAGCCUCUCUUCACCUUACAAAAAACCUAAGACUCUCUCUGGGGUGUGGUAGCCACAAUGGACGGCCAUAAGGGCCUUGAUAUAGGUCUCAAACCCUGGAAAUUAGGGUUUCAUUAAACAGCGUGGACUCGCCGAGUCCAGCUGUGAACUCGCAUCCAAAUCCGCGACCAUACUCGGCGAGUCUAGACGCUAACUCACCGAGUUCCCCCACAAAACCCAAAAAUAAAGGGACAAAAUCUCAUACCUGAAAUCCAGGUGUUACAGAUUUAAGUAAAGAUUUGAUGAGCAUUGUUUCAUAUCUGAGUUCCACAUUAAAAGUCUAUGCAAUUUAGCAAAGCUUUGAUGAGCAUUGUUAAAUUCUUGAGUUCCACAAUAGAAGUCUAUGCAAUUUAGCAAAGCUUUGAUGAGCAUUGUUAAAUUCUUGAGUUCCACAAUAGAAGUCUAUGAAAUUUAAGCAAAGCUUUGAUGAGCAUUGUUUCAUUCUUUAAUGUCACAUUAGAAGUCUAUGCAAUUUAGCAAAGCUUUGAUGUGCAUUGUUUAAUUCUUGAGUUCCACACUAGAAAUAGUCUUCGCAAUUUAGCAAAGCUUUGAUGAGCAUUGUUUAAUUCAUGACUUCCACAAUUGAUGUGGUGUUUUCAGUUUAGCAAAGCUUUUAUGAGCAUUGUUUAAUUCUUGAGUUCUACAAUAGAAGUCUAUGCAAUUUACAAAGGUUUUGAUGAGCAUUGUUUAAUUCUUGAGUUCUACAAUAGAAGUCUAUGCAAUUUACAAAGGUUUUGAUGAGCAUUGUUUAAUUCUUGAGUUCCACAUUACAAGCAGUGUUCGCUAUUUAGCAAAGCUUUGAUGAGUAUUGUUUCAUUCUUGGGCUCUAUGUUAGAAGUCUAUGCAAUUUUGCAAAGCAUUGAUGAGCAUUGUUUAAUUCUUGAGUUCCACAUUACAAGCAGUGUUCGCUAUUUAGCAAAGCUUUGAUGAGUAUUGUUUCAUUCUUGGGCUCUAUGUUAGAAGUCUAUGCAAUUUUGCAAAGCAUUGAUGAGCAUUGUUUAAUUCUUGAGUUCCAUAAUAUAUAUAGUCUUUUCAAUUUAGCAAAGCUUUGAUGACCAUAGUUUAAUUCUUGAGUUCCAAAAUCGUGUAUGCAAUUUAUGCAAAGCUUUGAUGAGCAUUGUUUCAUUAUUGAGUUCCACAUUAGAAGUCUAUGCAAUUUAGCAAAGCUUUGAUGUGCAUUGUUUAAUUCUAGAGUUCCACAAUAGAAGUAAUCAUCGCAAUUUAGCAAAGGUUUGAUGAGCAUUGUUUAGUUCUUUAGUUCCACAAUAUAAGUCUAAGCAAUUUAAGUAAAGCUUUGAUGAGCAUUGUUUCAUUAUUGAGUUCCACAUUAGAAGUCUAUGCAAUUUUGCAAAGUUUUGAUGAGCACUGUUUAAUUCUUGAGUUCCACGAUAAAAGUAAUCCUCGCAAUUUAGCAAACCUUUGAUGAGCAAUGAUUAAUUCUUAAGUUCCACAAUAGAAGUCUAUACAAUUUAAGUGAAGCUUUGAUGAGCAUUGUUUCAUUCUUGAGUUCCACAUUAGAUGUCUAUGCAAUUUAGCAAAGCUUUGAUUUGCAUUGUUUAAUUCUUGAGUUCCACAAUAGAUGUAGACUUUGCAAUUUAGAUAAGCUUUAAUGAGCAUUGUUAAAUUCUUGAGUUCCACAAUAGAAGUCUAUGCAAUUUAAGCAAAGCUUUGAUGAGCAUUGUUUCAUUCUUUAGUUCCACAUUAGAAGUCUAUGCAAUUCAGCAAAGCUGUGAUGUGCAUUGUUUAAUUUUUGAGUUCCACAAUAGAAGUAGUCUUUGUGUCACACCCCGAAACCGAAGGCGGAAACGUUCUGGGGCGGAGGACAUCAUGAAUAUCGCAACCAAUGUACAUAGUAAGCGUAGUAAACACAAAGCAAUACAUUACAUAAUGUUAUUACAUUUGUUUGAAAUCAAAGUGUUACAUGUGUCAUACAUAUACAUAUCAUAUGAACAAAAGUAAAGACGUGUCUUCUACGUACUCCGUCUUCGCCAAAAGGAUCGCUAGUACCUGUCUAAUGUGGACCUGAGAAUACAAGCAGUUUGAAAAUCAACAUAAAGCUGGUGAGUUCAUAAGACGUUUGUUUUCUGAAAAUGUACAAGUUUCCUUUGGUUCUCCGAAAAAGUUUGUUAUCCAAGAAAAUCCCAUAUUUUCUUAUAAGUGUAGUUUAGUUAUCCAUUAGUUACACGGUCUAGUUAAGAACAGUUCAGUUAUCCCAGGAAAAACCCUUAUUUUCCUAAAAGUAAAGUUUAGUUAAUGUUCUGAAUUUCCGUUAAAUACAACUGUGUAUAGUCUAAUACGUAAGACUAUAUAUUGAAAUUCAUGGGAUUACUAUCUCGUACUAGAUAUAAGAUAACCUUAAUACACAAAGACUAUAGAUUGAAAGUCAUGGGAUUACCGUCCCGUACUAGAUAUAAUACUAUGGAAAUACCAUCCCGUACUAGAUAUAAGAUAGCUUGAGAUACACGAAACUAUAGAUAGAUAUAGAUUGAAAACCAUGGGAUUACCAUCUCGUACUAGAUAUAGAUUGAAAACCAUGGGAUUAUCAUCCCGUACUAGAUAUAGAUUCAAAACCAUGGGAUUAUCAUCUCGUACUAGAUACAAGAAACUAUAGAUAGAAGAUAGAUAUAAAAUCAAAUCCGUGAAUAAACUUAUAUUAAUACGUAUUGUGAGUCGGGUAACCGUGCUGAUGCGACACCGAGACCUCCUUGACGUUCGUCAGACGUCGGACAAUUUCUAGAAUUUGUCACCCCAGGCGUGCCCGCCUAACUGUAGCUAGCAGUUUAGGUGUGGGAUUGUCAGUCCCAAAUAGAUCUAUUCACAAAUUCCAUUCUCUCCCUCCAGGAGACUCUGGUUACACUUCCGGGGAGGAUUUACUGAUAACCCAAAGGGUUUAAUAAUGACGAAUAUCACAAGCUAAUAUUAAAUUAUUCACGGUGUUCUCCGACGUUAUCAAACAUACUAAUCAUUUUGGAACAUAAUACGGUAAAAACAGUUUAAUACAAAGAAACUAUCUGGUAUAAUACUUUACAAUAACCAGAGAUAAACUGAAUCAGACAUAGUUUAUCUAUUAACAUUACAUGAAAUCCGAAUUCAUAAAACGAGAACUGAAGAUCCCAAAUUAUUCCCAUAAUAAUUUGAUUGAUUUGAUUGUUUCCUUUACUGAAAUCCAUGUAGUUGUAUUCGAUAAAACAUCCCUUAUGCUCCGUAUAAUAC